rnacentral:rRNA from 1 species
GACGAACCGUGCGAACGUUGUUCGGAAUCACUGGGCUUAAAGGGCGCGUAGGCGGGCGAUCAAGUCAGGGGUGAAAUCCUCCGGCUCAACCGGAGAACUGCCUUUGAUACUGGUCAUCUCGAGUGAGGUAGGGGCAUGCGGAACUGAUGGUGGAGCGGUGAAAUGUGUUGAUAUCAUCAGGAACACCGGUGGCGAAGGCGGUUCUCUGGGACGGUACUGACGCUGAGACGCGAAAGCGUGGGGAGCGAACAGG